GGCCUGUUGCCAGUUAGCAAUAAAAUAGUGAGUGGAGAGUCCUUGUGAAAUGUUACUCCUUUUAAUUAAAGGAGCAGGUUUAAUGAAUAACUCUUUCAGUCAAUUUCUUUAGCUUGAUAUUGUAAGUCAUCUAUUGAAGAGUUCCACUCAGACAACGAAGUUAAGGAGAAGUUAUAAAAUAGAAAGUGUAACAUAAAUAACAGCUAACCAAUUUAUUCUAGUUGUAUCUAUAGGACUAAAUAUAAUAGACAGUUUAAAGAGGGAAGAGUAUAAGAUUUUUAAGCCACCAUUUCGUUUUACUCAAACCUAAAGGUCUGAGGAUCAUUUUUAAAAAUACUUUUGGCACUUUAAGACACUUCGUUUCUGUGACCUUUUUGCUAAACUGAACUAAAGUCAAGACUUUGACUAUCAAGCCAUGCUGUUUUUGAGAGCUCUGGCAAUCUUAAUUUUGUUUGUCGUAAUUUGUUCAACAUGCAACAGUGUCAUACUCAGGCCUAGAUGGUAUCCAUAUUUUAAAAAAGAAGGUGAAUCGAGCAGUUCGGGCCAGGUCCAGUUGACAGAAACCUCUGGAGCAAGACAAGCCAGAACAGUGAGGAUGGAGCCAUGUCAAGAUACUCUGUAUGACCAGAACUGCAAUACAUUUAUUCUGAUGGCUAUCAGGCAGCUUCUCAAUAGAGAAGACAAUCAAAAUUAAAUGUCAAGUCUUGCCUUCUUGAUAGUUUCUGGUCGCACUAUACAUCAAUACAUAGGCCCUAAAGGUAGAGAGUUUCUAGUCGUACUAUACAUAGGCCCUAAAGGUAGAGAGUUUCUAGUCGCACUAAACAUCAAUACAUAGGCCCUAAAGGUAGGGAGUUUCUAGUCGCAAUAAACAUCAGUACAUUGGGCCCUAUAGGUAGAUAGUUUCUAGUCCUAAAGGUAGAGAGUUUCUACUCGCACUAUACAUCAAUACAUUGGGCCCUAUAUGUAGAUAGUUUCUAGUCGCAAUACACAUCAAUACAUAGGCCCUAUUGUUAGAGAGUUUCUGGUCGCAAUUAACAUCAAUACAUAGGUCCUAUAUGUAGACAGUUUCUGAUUGCACUAUACAUCAAUAUAUAGGCCCUAAGGUAGAUAGUUUCUUGUCGCACUAUACACCAAUACACAUGCCUAUUUGUUAGAGAGUUUCUGGUCGCAAUUAACAUUAAUACAUUGGGCCCUAUAGGUAAAUAGUUUCUUGUCGCACUAUACAUCAAUACAUAGGCCCUAUAUGUAGACAGUUUCUGAAUGCACUAUACAUCAAUAUAUAGGCACUAAUGUUAGAGAGUUUCUGGUCGCAAUUAACAAAUUAACAUUGAUACAUUGGGCCCUAUAGGUAGAUAGAUAUUCAAACAAGUGAGUUGCAGAUAUUUCAGCUCUAUUUGUAUGUUCUUUGUUUUCAAUCACUAUUUCUUUGCUGCCGUCAUCAAAAUUUCUGCACAUUAUAUACAUUGGUGUUUCCCAAACCGUGUUCCA
rnacentral:sRNA from 1 species